GGGGUAGAGAUCAGUGGUAGAGCGCGUGCUUAGCAUGCACGAGGUCCUGGGUUCAAUCCCUAGUACUGCCA
rnacentral:tRNA from 1 species